AUGGAAGGCGCAUGGCUCGAGCAUCUACAUGGCUCUUGAGAGCGGAAGCAGGGUCGGGAUGAACCGCAAAGCUGAGCGCUUCAGCUUUGCGGUGCCUCUCCUGACCUCCCAGGUGGUCGCCUGAGGUACGCAAGAAUCGGCAAGUCACAAAACGGCAAUGGUGAACUCCGGCAGGAGUCCA
rfam:Triticum aestivum genome assembly, contig: Triticum_aestivum_CS42_TGACv1_scaffold_093410_2AL